GCAUUUGCAAAUGGAGACCUCUUCACCACUUUUAUGUGAGGAGUGUCUUUUCGUCUUGCUACUGAAGACAUUGCUCGAAUCCUUGCUUUUCUUCUGUGGGCUGGGAUCACUAUGUUAAAUUUGAGUGUCCAUACUUAGAUAACAUGGCAUCUGCAGUGGCUAUCACUAGGAAAUUCUCUGGUAAUCCUAAUCUCUUUUAGCAUCAUUAUUUUUUUAAGCGAGAAAUGCCCCCUCUACACCAACUUUACUUUGACAUGGUCCAUAAGAUGAUCACACCUCAAAAGGAAAGACACAUUAAAGCAAAUUACCUGGACGUCACUCUUAUGGAGCUGCUUGAUACUGAAGUCAACAUCAACUUGCCCAGUCUCAUUCUUAAGCAAAUGCAAAGGGGUCUCAUUAAGGAUCACCAAAAGGUACAUGUUCCGUAUGGGUUUUGGUUUUCCUCCAUCUUUAAAGACUAUUUUGUUUUUGUGCAAGUUUGAUCUCUUCUGAAAACUAAGGAUAUUCUUGGACGCUUAAACUAUGUUGCGUUACCUGUUUCAGUGAGACAAGCUGGCAUUCUUAUACAAAGGUUGCGCAAUGAAUUGGUUGAUACUUUGGCUGAGUUGGAGGAAGAUCAUGCCACUCAUGCUCAAUAUAAUGAGGCUCUUUAAGCUAUAAUCCUCACACUCGAGGCAGACCUUUCCAAAGAAAGGGCUAAUAAUAGGGAUGUUAUUCGCAAGUUAACACAGUUGAGUGUACCUGUUCCACCCACCUCAUUUUGUUUAUCCUCUUAGUUCCCUAGGAUCUUGUUCUUAUAAGUUGUUUUUUACAAAAGUGCCUAGGUUGUUCAUUUUGCUGCAGUUAUCUUAUUCUCUUGUAGGUCAUAUUUUGUUGAAUCAAUGAUAUCUCUCUCUCUCUUUGUUUUAUGUUUAUCUCGUUUUGCUCUUUCUACUCACUUUUUAUCUCGUUUUGCUCUUUCUACCCACUUUUUAAUUAAAUGGUCUUGCUCUGAUUGUUUUGGU
rnacentral:lncRNA from 1 species